GCCGCCGCGGUAAUACGGAAGGUCCGGGCGUUAUCCGGAUUUAUUGGGUUUAAAGGGAGCGUAGGCCGGAGAUUAAGCGUGUUGUGAAAUGUAGACGCUCAACGUCUGCACUGCAGCGCGAACUGGUUUCCUUGAGUACGCACAAAGUGGGCGGAAUUCGUGGUGUAGCGGUGAAAUGCUUAGAUAUCACGAAGAACUCCGAUUGCGAAGGCAGCUCACUGGAGCGCAACUGACGCUGAAGCUCGAAAGUGCGGGUAUCGAACAGGAUUAGAUACCCC
rnacentral:rRNA from 1 species